AUUGAACGCUGGCGGAAUGCUUUACACAUGCAAGUCGAACGGCAGCACGGGGCAACCUGGUGGCGAGUGGCGAACGGGUGAGUAAUACAUCGGAACGUGCCCAGUCGUGGGGGGAUAACGUAGCGAAAGUUACGCUAAUACCGCAUACGAUCUAUGGAUGAAAGCGGGGGAUCGCAAGACCUCGCGCGAUUGGAGCGGCCGAUGUCAGAUUAGGUAGUUGGUGGGGUAAAGGCCUACCAAGCCGACGAUCUGUAGCUGGUCUGAGAGGACGACCAGCCACACUGGGACUGAGACACGGCCCAGACUCCUACGGGAGGCAGCAGUGGGGAAUUUUGGACAAUGGGCGCAAGCCUGAUCCAGCCAUUCCGCGUGCAGGAUGAAGGCCU
rnacentral:rRNA from 1 species